AACGAACGCUGGCGGCAUGCCUAACACAUGCAAGUCGAACGAGACCUUCGGGUCUAGUGGCGCACGGGUGCGUAACGCGUGGGAACCUUCCCUUAGGUUCGGAAUAACUCCCCGAAAGGGGUGCUAAUACCGGAUAAUGUCUUCGGACCAAGGAUUUAUCGCCUUUGGAUGGGCCCGCGUUGGAUUAGCUAGUUGGUAGGGUAAAAGCCUACCAAGGCGACGAUCCAUAGCUGGUCUGAGAGGAUGAUCAGCCACACUGGGACUGAGGCACGGCCCAGACUCCUACGGGAGGCAGCAGUGGGGAAUAUUGGACAAUGGGCGAAAGCCUGAUCCAGCAAUGCCGCGUGAGUGAUGAAGGCCUUAGGGUUGUAAAGCUCUUUUACCCGGGAUGAUAAUGACAGUACCGGGAGAAUAAGCUCCGGCUAACUCCGUG
rnacentral:rRNA from 1 species